rnacentral:rRNA from 1 species
GAACCUGCCUCAUACUCGGAAAUAGCCUUGCGAAAGUAAGAUUAAUGCCCGAUGUUUUCAGCGGUCCGCAUGAACUGCUGAACAAAGAUUUAUCGGUAUGAGAUGGCGAUGCGUCCCAUUAGCUUGUUGGCGGGGUAACAGCCCACCAAGGCAUCGAUGGGUAGGGGUUCUGAGAGGAAGGUCCCCCACAUUGGAACUGAGACACGGUCCAAACUCCUACGGGAGGCAGCAGUGAGGAAUAUUGGUCAAUGGACGCAAGUCUGAACCAGCCAAGUAGCGUGCAGGAAGACGGCCCUCCGGGCUGUAAACUGCUUUUAGUUGGGAAUAAAGUGCAGCUCGUGAGCUGUUUUGUAUGUACCAUCAGAAAAAGGACCGGCUAAUUCCGUGCCAGCAGCCGCGGUAAUACGGAAGGUCCAGGCGUUAUCCGGAUUUAUUGGGUUUAAAGGGAGCGCAGGCGGACUCUUAAGUCAGUUGUGAAAUACGGCGGCUCAACCGUCGGACUGCAGUUGAUACUGGGAGUCUUGAGUGCACACAGGGAUGCUGGAAUUCAUGGUGUAGCGGUGAAAUGCUCAGAUAUCACGAAGAACUCCGAUUG